rnacentral:rRNA from 1 species
GACGAACGCUGGCGGCGUGCUUAACACAUGCAAGUCGAACGGAAAGGCCCUGCUUUUGUGGGGUGCUCGAGUGGCGAACGGGUGAGUAACACGGGAGUAACCUGCCCUUGACUUUGGGAUAACUUCAGGAAACUGGGGCUAAUACCGGAUAGGAGCUCCUGCUGCAUGGUGGGGGUUGGAAAGUUUCGGCGGUUGGGGAUGGACUCGCGGCUUAUCAGCUUGUUGGUGGGGUAGUGGCUUACCAAGGCUUUGACGGGUAGCCGGCCUGAGAGGGUGACCGGCGACCUUGGGACUGAGAUACGGCCCAGACUGCUACGGGAGGCAGCAGUGGGGAAUAUUGCACAAUGGGCGGAAGCCUGAUGCAGAAACGCCGCGUGCGGGAUGAAGGCCUUCGGGUUGUAAACCGCUUUCGCCUGUGACGAAGCGUGAGUGACGGUAAUGGGUAAAGAAGCACCGGCUAACUACGUG